UUUAUUUACAUGAAUGCUGCAUAUAUAGGCUUGAAAAUCUAGAUGUAAUGUUAAAUCAUGGUCCCAAUGCUUGGAAGCUAUACAACCAAAGACUGGAGGCUUUUUUAGCCAGAAUGCAGUCACAGGCUGUUAAGUUAAAUGAAGAGAUUGAAAGCGUAAAUCGAGAAA